UCGAGAAUUUUUCACAAUGGGGGAAACCCUGAUGGAGCGACGCCGCGUGGAGGAUGAAGGCCUUCGGGUCGUAAACUCCUGUCAUGCGGGAACAAGAAAGUGAUAGUACCGCAAGAGGAAGAGACGGCUAACUCUGUGCCAGCAGCCGCGGUAAUACAGAGGUCUCAAGCGUUGUUCGGAUUCAUUGGGCGUAAAGGGUGCGUAGGUGGUGACGUAAGUCUAAUGUGAAAUCUCGGGGCUUAACCCCGAAAUUGCAUCGGAUACUGCGUGACUAGAGGACUGUAGAGGAGAUUGGAAUUCACGGUGUAGCAGUGAAAUGCGUAGAUAUCGUGAGGAAGACCAGUUGCGAAGGCGAAUCUCUGGGCAGUUCCUGACACUGAGGCACGAAGGCCAGGGGAGCAAACGGGAUUAGAUACCCCCGUAGUCC
rnacentral:rRNA from 1 species